rnacentral:rRNA from 1 species
GCGUUAUUCGGAAUGAUUGGGCGUAAAGGGCGCGUAGGCGGCCCGGUAAGUCAAAGGUGAAAUCCCUCGGCUCAACUGAGGAACUGCCUUUGAAACUGUCGGGCUUGAGGCCGGGAGAGGGUAGUGGAAUUCCCAGUGUAGCGGUGAAAUGCGUAGAUAUUGGGAGGAACACCAGUGGCGAAGGCGGCUACCUGGACCGGUUCUGACGCUGAGGCGCGAAAGCGUGGGUAGCAAACAGG